rnacentral:misc_RNA from 1 species
AAGUCGUAACAAGGUUUCCGUAGGUGAACCUGCGGAAGGAUCAUUAUCGUACAAAAUGUGAGGGGCAUGCGAGGGCUGUCGCUGACUCAAAGUCGUGCACGCCCGAGUGUGUCCUCUCACAUAAAUAAUCCAUCUCACCCUCUGUGCAUCACCGCGUGGGCACCCUUUGGGAUCAUCUCGGAGGGGGCUCGCGUUUUCACACAAACCCCCCUUUUAAAAGUGUAGAAUGACCUCAUUUAUGCGCUAACCCGCAAUCAAUACAACUUUCAACAACGGAUCUCUUGGCUCUCGCAUCGAUGAAGAACGCAGCGAAAUGCGAUACGUAAUGUGAAUUGCAGAAUUCAGUGAAUCAUCGAAUCUUUGAACGCACCUUGCGCCCCUUGGUAUUCCGAGGGGCACACCCGUUUGAGUGUCGUGAAAACCUCAACCUCCUUGGUUUCUUCUGGAGACCAAAGCAGGCUUGGACUUUGGAGGCCUUUGCUGGCACCUCUCUUUUGAAGGCCAGCUCCUCUUAAACAAAUUAGCAGGGUCCUCUUUGCCGAUCCUCGACGUGUGAUAAGAUGUUUCCAUGUCUUGGUUUCUGGCUCUGUCACUUUUGGGACCCGCUUCUAACCGUCUUGAGACCUUGCGUCGAGACAACGUUCGAGCAUGUCUCCCUUUUCUCGGGAAGCUCCCUCGACCCCACGAACCCUUGACCUCAAAUCGGGUGAGACUACCCGCUGAACUUAAGCAUAUCAAUAAGCGGAGGAAAAGAAACUAACUAAGGAUUCCCCUAGUAACUGCGAGUGAAGCGGGAAAAGCUCAAAUUUAAAAUCUGGCGGUCUUUGGCUGUCCGAGUUGUAAUUUAGAGAA